rnacentral:snRNA from 1 species
GUGAAGCCGGCUAUUAGUGCUGCAUUUUGCAACUGCUAUCUGCCAUUGAUGAUCGUUCUCAACUCUCUUGAGGGUUGAGAGGGAGAGGACACAGUCUGAGUGGU